ensembl:rRNA 5S_rRNA 5S ribosomal RNA
GCUUACGACCACACCGGCCUGGCCUGAGUACCCUGAUCUCGUCUGAUCUCGGAAGCUAAGCAGGGUCGGGCCUGGUUAGUACUUGGAUGGGAGACUUCCUGGGAAUACCAGGUGCUGUAAGCU